rnacentral:rRNA from 1 species
AAACGUAGGAGACAAGCGUUAUCCGGAUUUACUGGGCGUAAAGCGCGUGCAGGCGGUUCGGUAAGUCGGGCGUGAAAGCUCCAGGCUCAACUGGGAGAGGCCGUCCGAAACUGCCGGACUUGAGGGCGACAGAGGGGAGUGGAAUUCCGGGUGUAGUGGUGAAAUGCGUAGAUAUCCGGAGGAACACCAGUGGCGAAGGCGGCUCCCUGGGUCGCUCCUGACGCUCAGACGCGAAAGCGUGGGUAGCGAACGGGAUUAGAAACCCCGGUAGUCCACGCCGUAAACGAUGGAUACUAGGUGUUGGGGGUAUGAAUUCCCUCGGCGCCGAAGCUAACGCGUUAAGUAUCCCGCCUGGGGACUACGGCCGCAAGGCUAAA